GCUGGCGUGGUUCGUAAACUUCCCACGAUAAAAAACCAAGAACUU
rnacentral:ncRNA from 2 species